UAUAAGGGAUUUUGAGUUUUUGCUUGCAAUGUUUGACCACUCGUCUUAUUCAAAAAAAUUUGAAAUUAUUAUUUAUUUUAUUUGUGACUUACUUUAUUAUCUACAGUAUUUUAAGCAUAACUUUUUGUUUUUUAUAUUUGGAGAAAAAAAUUUGAAUAAGACGAGUGGUUAAAUGUUGCAAGCAAAAACUCAAAAUCCCUUAUA
rfam:Oryza sativa Japonica Group DNA, chromosome 3, cultivar: Nipponbare, complete sequence.